AAAGAAAUUUUAUAUUUAAAAAAGCUUCUAACUUUUUAAAAAGCAUUAACUUGUUUAU
rnacentral:tRNA from 1 species